GAGCAGGGCAGCAUCUCAUUGGCCAUUUCUGACCCUGUUACGGUCAUAACAGGGUUGUCAUGGUGAUGUCAUACAGGUCCCCGGAAGUACACAAUGUCAAUGAAGUUGAUUGAUUUCUAAUUUUCCCAGGUCAGAAGCGUCCCAGUCCAGGUGUGUCUGUUUCUCUAGUUGCUAGUGUCUGUAUCUCCCAGUCCAGGUGUGUCUGUUUCUCUAGUUGCUAGUGUCUGUAUCUCCCAGUCCAGGUGUGUAUGUUUCUCUAGUUGCUAGUGUCUGUAUCUCCCAGUCCAGGUGUGUCUGUUUCUCUAGUUGCUAGUGUCUGUAUCUCCCAGUCCAGGUGUGUCUGUUUCUCUAGUUGCUAGUGUCUGUAUCUCCCAGUCCAGGUGUGUAUGUUUCUCUAGUUGCUAGUGUCUGUAUCUCCCAGUCCAGGUGUGUAUGUUUCUCUAGUUGCUAGUGUCUGUAUCUCCCAGUCCAGGUGUGUCUGUUUCUCUAGUUGCUAGUGUCUGUAUCUCCCAGUCCAGGUGUGUAUGUUUCUCUAGUUGCUAGUGUCUGUAUCUCCCAGUCCAGGUGUGUAUGUUUCUCUGGUUGCUAGUGUCUGUAUCUCCCAGUCCAGGUGUGUCUGUUUCUCUGCGUUAUAUACUUCCUAUCUUUAUAACAAACCUGUCGGGCCAUGUUCCUUCAAACAUCCUGUUCUACCUGUUCAAGCACACACGAGCACACGCUAACACACACAC